UACGUAGGGGCCGAGCGUUGUCCGGAUUCAUUGGGCGUAAAGAGCGUGUAGGCGGCCGCUUAAGUCCUGCGUGAAAUCUCGGAGCUCAACUCCGAGCGGUCGUGGGAAACUGGGCGGCUAGAGUGCGGGAGAGGAGAGUGGAAUUCCUGGUGUAGCGGUGGAAUGCGCAGAUAUCAGGAAGAACACCGGUGGCGAAGGCGGCG
rnacentral:rRNA from 1 species